GAUGAACGCUGGCGGCGUGCUUAACACAUGCAAGUCGAACGAUGAAGCUGGAGCUUGCUCCGGCGGAUUAGUGGCGAACGGGUGAGUAACACGUGAGCAAUCUGCCCUUGACUCUGGGAUAACUGCGGGAAACUGUAGCUAAUACCGGAUACGACGCCUUGGGGCAUCCCACGGGCGUGGAAAGAAUUUCGGUCAAGGAUGAGCUCGCGGCCUAUCAGCUAGUUGGUGAGGUAAUGGCUCACCAAGGCGACGACGGGUAGCCGGCCUGAGAGGGUGACCGGCCACACUGGGACUGAGACACGGCCCAGACUCCUACGGGAGGCAGCAGUGGGGAAUAUUGCGCAAUGGGCGAAAGCCUGACGCAGCAACGCCGCGUGAGGGAUGAAGGCCUUCGGGUUGUAAACCUCUUUUAGCAGGGAAGAAGCGAAAGUGACGGUACCUGCAGAAAAAGCACCGGCUAACUACGUGCCAGCAGCCGCGGUAAUACGUAGGGUGCAAGCGUUAUCCGGAAUUAUUGGGCGUAAAGAGCUCGUAGGCGGUUUGUCGCGUCUGCUGUGAAAAUCUGAGGCUCAACCUCGGACUUGCAGUGGGUACGGGCAGACUAGAGUGCGGUAGGAGAGAAGGGAAUUCCUGGUGUAGCGGUGGAAUGCGCAGAUAUCAGAGGAACACCAAUGGCGAAAGCACUUCUCUGGGCCGUAACUGACGCUGAGGAGCGAAAGCGUGGGGAGCGAACAGGAUUAGAUACCCUGGUAGUCCACGCCGUAAACGUUGGGCGCUAGAUGUGGGUCACAUUCCACGUGAUCCGUGUCGCAGCUAACGCAUUAAGCGCCCCGCCUGGGGAGUACGGCCGCAAGGCUAAAACUCAAAGGAAUUGACGGGGGCCCGCACAAGCGGCGGAGCAUGCGGAUUAAUUCGAUGCAACGCGAAGAACCUUACCAAGACUUGACAUAUUCAGGAAAACUGCAGAAAUGUAGUCCCCCGCAAGGGUCUGUUUACAGGUGGUGCAUGGUUGUCGUCAGCUCGUGUCGUGAGAUGUUGGGUUAAGUCCCGCAACGAGCGCAACCCUCGUCCUAUGUUGCCAGCACGUUAUGGUGGGAACUCAUGGGAGACUGCCGGGGUCAACUCGGAGGAAGGUGGGGAUGACGUCAAAUCAUCAUGCCCCUUAUGUCUUGGGCUUCACGCAUGCUACAAUGGCCGGUACAAAGGGCUGCAAUACCGUAAGGUGGAGCGAAUCCCAAAAAGCCGGUCUCAGUUCGGAUUGAGGUCUGCAACUCGACCUCAUGAAGUCGGAGUCGCUAGUAAUCGCAGAUCAGCAACGCUGCGGUGAAUACGUUCCCGGGCCUUGUACACACCGCCCGUCAAGUCACGAAAGUCGGUAACACCCGAAGCCGGUGGCCUAACCGUAAGGAAGGAGCCGUCUAAGGUGGGAUUGGUGAUUGGGACU
rnacentral:rRNA from 1 species